GCAAGUCGAACGGUAACAGGGGGAGCUUGCUCCCUGCUGACGAGUGGCGCACGGGUGCGUAACGCGUAUACAAUCUACCUUUUACAGGGGUAUAGCCUUUAGAAAUGAAGAUUAACACCCCAUGGUAAGUACCUAUGGCAUCAUAGGAACUUUAAAACUCCGGUGGUAAAAGAUGAGUAUGCGUUCUAUUAGCUAGAUGGUGUGGUAACGGCACACCAUGGCAACGAUAGAUAGGGGCCCUGAGAGGGGGAUC
rnacentral:rRNA from 1 species